CUCGGCGUGUGUGUGUCAUCGAAUCUAACAUAGAAAAAAAACAGUGUUCAAUCAAGCGUCGUGGAUACAUUAGGAGAAACACACAAUUUAUAUGAAAUACUGCAGCAAGACGAUCAUUAUAACUUGCUUUGGUUGGAUCUCAUUUUGGCUACGCAACACAGGUUUCGGCACCCCAAUCAAAAAAGGUUAUAUAUAAGCUGGAAAGAACACAAAGGCGUGCUACCAAAUACCUUCAUGUGUAUAGUUCUGUCCACCACGAUUAGCUUUCGCUAUUUGUGGACAGCAAGAUUUUCAUUGAAUUUGUAAACUAGUUUGACAUAGUAAAUAUAAAUUAAUAAAUUUGACAUAAUAAUAAAUUAAUUAAUUGGCUAUCCGCUGUUGUGGACACCCUGCU